GCAGGAAUAGUGUAACUGGCAACAUAUCAGUCUCCAAAACUGAAGUUCUGGGUUCAAAUCCUAGUUCCUGCG
rnacentral:tRNA from 1 species